GCCCGGCUAGCUCAGCCGGUAGAGCAUGAGACUCUUAAUCUCAGGGUUGUGGGAUCGAGCCCCACGUUGGGCG
rnacentral:tRNA from 1 species